rnacentral:rRNA from 1 species
UACGGAGGGUGCGAGCGUUGUUCGGAAUUACUGGGCGUAAAGCGCGUGUAGGCGGCCGAUUAAGUCUGGUGUGAAAGCCCGGGGCUCACCCCCGGAAGUGCGCUGGAAACUGGUCGGCUAGAGUAUGGGAGAGGAAAGUGGAAUUCCCGGUGUAGCGGUGAAAUGCGUAGAGAUCGGGAGGAACACCUGUGGCGAAGGCGGCCGACUGGGCCGACCCUGACGCUGAGGCGCGAAGGCGUGGGGAGCGAACGGG